rnacentral:rRNA from 1 species
UACAGAGGUCUCAAGCGUUGUUCGGAUUCAUUGGGCGUAAAGGGUGCGUAGGUGGCGUGGUAAGUCGGGUGUGAAAUUUCGGAGCUUAACUCCGAAACUGCAUUCGAUACUGCCGUGCUUGAGGACUGGAGAGGAGACUGGAAUUUACGGUGUAGCAGUGAAAUGCGUAGAGAUCGUAAGGAAGACCAGUGGCGAAGGCGGGUCUCUGGACAGUUCCUGACACUGAGGCACGAAGUCCAAGGGAGCAAACUGG